GGCCGUCGUCAGCUCGUAUCGUGAGGCGUCCUGUUAAGUCAGGUAACGAGCGAGACCCGUGCCCCAUGUUGCUACCAUCUCCUCCGGGAGAGGGGCACUCAUGGGGGACCGCCGGCGCAAAGCCGGAGGAAGGUGCGGGCAACGACAGGUCCGCAUGCCCCGAAUCCCCUGGGCUACACGCGGGCUACAAUGGCCGGGACAAUGGGACGCGACCCCGAAAGGGGGAGCGAAUCCCCUAAACCCGGUCGUAGUCCGGAUCGAGGGCUGUAACUCGCCCUCGUGAAGCCGGAAUCCGUAGUAAUCGCGCCUCACCAUGGCGCGGUGAAUGCGUCCCUGCUCCUUGCACACACCGCCCGUCACGCCACCCGAGUUGAGCCUAAGUGAGGCCCUGUCCGUAAGGGCAGGGUCGAACUUGGGUUCAGCGAGGGGGGCGAAGUCGUAACAAGGUAGCCGUAGGGGAACCUGCGGCUG
rnacentral:rRNA from 1 species